GCAUAUCAAUAAGCGGAGGAAAAGAAACCAACAGGGAUUGCCCUAGUAACGGCGAGUGAAGCGGCAACAGCUCAAAUUUGAAAUCUGGCUCUUUCAGAGUCCGAGUUGUAAUUUGCAGAGGGCGCUUUGGCAUUGGCAGCGGUCUAAGUUCUUUGGAACAGGACGUCACAGAGGGUGAGAAUCCCGUAUGUGGUCGCUAGCCUUUGCUGUGUAAAGCCCCUUCGACGAGUCGAGUUGUUUGGGAAUGCAGCUCUAAAUGGGAGGUAAAUUUCUUCUAAAGCUAAAUACUGGCCAGAGACCGAUAGCGCACAAGUAGAGUGAUCGAAAGAUGAAAAGCACUUUGGAAAGAGAGUCAAAUAGCACGUGAAAUUGUUGAAAGGGAAGCGCUUGCAGCCAGACUUGCCUGUAGUUGCUUAUCCGGACUUUUGUCCGGUGCACUCUUCUGCGGGCAGGCCAGCAUCAGUUUGGGCGGUUGGAUAAAGGUCUCUAUCACGUACCUCUCUUCGGGGAGGCCUUAUAGGGGAGACGUCAUGCAACCAGCCUGGACUGAGGUCCGCGCAUCUGCUAGGAUGCUGGCGUAAUGGCUGUAAGCGGCCCGUCUUGAAACACGGACCAAGGAGUCUAACAUCUAUGCGAGUGUUUGGGUGUCAAGCCCAUACGCGUAAUGAAAGUGAACGGAGGUGGGAACCCUUUGGGUGCACCAUCGACCGAUCCUGAUGUCUUCGGAUGGAUUUGAGUAAGAGCAUGGCUGUUGGGACCCGAAAGAUGGUGAACUAUGCUUGAAUAGGGUGAAGCCAGAGGAAACUCUGGUGGAGGCUCGCAGCGGUUCUGACGUGCAAAUCGAUCGUCAAAUUUGGGCAUAGGGGCGAAAGACUAAUCGAACUAUCUAGUAGCUGGGUUC
rnacentral:sRNA from 1 species